rnacentral:misc_RNA from 1 species
GAAAAUUGUAGGAAAUGCACAAUUUCGGUGGCAAAGUGAUGUUGAGGAUCCACAUACAUUUGUUGAUCUUUUCGUAUCAAAUGAUGAUCCGACAUUGCUGAUGAGAUCAUGUGCAUUCUACCCUAAAUUUGGGUUUGGAGCUUUUGGCAUUUUCCCAGUCCUUUUAAAGAAAAGAGUAUCUUCACAAGAUUAUGGAGUCAUGGGUUUGAGAUAUGGCUCAUCAAAUCUCUCGGUUGGAGCUACUCUUAUGCCUUUCGCUUUGGGAGAUGAUGUUCCCAAAAGUGCAUGGCUGGUGAGCAAAAUGGGAAGAUUAACCACCGGGGUGCAGUAUGAAUCACAGUUUGGUAGCAAAAGUGGCCAAAAGUUUAAGAACUUAGAAAAUUGGAGCUGUGCCAUUGGCUAUGGAGUGGGAUCAGGCAGCCCUUUGAGCCCAUCCUUCAAUUUUGGUCUUGAGCUUGCGAAGAGUUCACAGUUUAUUGCUUCAUUCUAUCAACACGUGGUGGUUCAAAGACGGGUGAAAAAUCCACUAGAAGAAGACGAAGUAGUUGGAAUUACUAAUUAUAUAGAUUUCGGGUUUGAGUUGCAG